CUUGCUUCUCUUGAGAGCGGCGGACGGGUGAGUAAUGCCUAGGAAUCUGCCUGGUAGUGGGGGAUAACGUUCGGAAACGGACGCUAAUACCGCAUACGUCCUACGGGAGAAAGCAGGGGACCUUCGGGCCUUGCGCUAUCAGAUGAGCCUAGGUCGGAUUAGCUAGUUGGUGGGGUAAUGGCUCACCAAGGCGACGAUCCGUAACUGGUCUGAGAGGAUGAUCAGUCACACUGGAACUGAGACACGGUCCAGACUCCUACGGGAGGCAGCAGUGGGGAAUAUUGGACAAUGGGCGAAAGCCUGAUCCAGCCAUGCCGCGUGUGUGAAGAAGGUCUUCGGAUUGUAAAGCACUUUAAGUUGGGAGGAAGGGUUGUAGAUUAAUACUCUGCAAUUUUGACGUUACCGACAGAAUAAGCACCGGCUAACUCUGUGCCAGCAGCCGCGGUAAUACAGAGGGUGCAAGCGUUAAUCGGAAUUACUGGGCGUAAAGCGCGCGUAGGUGGUUUGUUAAGUUGGAUGUGAAAUCCCCGGGCUCAACCUGGGAACUGCAUUCAAAACUGACUGACUAGAGUAUGGUAGAGGGUGGUGGAAUUUCCUGUGUAGCGGUGAAAUGCGUAGAUAUAGGAAGGAACACCAGUGGCGAAGGCGACCACCUGGACUAAUACUGACACUGAGGUGCGAAAGCGUGGGGAGCAAACAGGAUUAGAUACCCUGGUAGUCCACGCCGUAACGAUGUCAACUAGCCGUUGGAAGCC
rnacentral:rRNA from 1 species